rnacentral:ncRNA from 1 species
UAAAAACCGUUGAUGGGGUCAGUAAUCAGUAUGAAAUUUCCAGAGAGCCGGUGGUAGCUGAAAACCGGUAAUUUCAGCUGAUGAAUCCACCCCUGAGGGAACUGCCGAAUCCGAAGUAGUAAGUAGUUACGUUACCGGGCGUUAACCGGUUAGAGUUGGGGCUCAUUGCCCAACUAGGGUGGCAACGCGAGCAGACCCUCGUCCCUAAU